rnacentral:rRNA from 1 species
UUAAGUGACUAAGCGUAUGUGGUGGAUGCUUGGCAGUUAGAGGCGAUGAAGGACGUGUUAAUCUGCGAUAAGCGUUGGUAAGGUGAUAAAAACCGUCAUAGCCAACGAUUUCCGAAUGGGGAAACCCACUUGUCAUAAGACAGGUAUCGUAACGUGAAUACAUAGCGUUACGAGGCGAACCGGGAGAACUGAAACAUCUAAGUACCCCGAGGAAAAGAAAUCAACCGAGAUUUCGUUAGUAGCGGCGAGCGAACGCGAAUCAGCCUUAAGCUUAAUGGGCGCUAGUGGAAGGUUCUGGAAAGGACCACGAUACAGGGUGAUAGUCCCGUACACUAAAGCAACCAUUAAGUGAAAUCGAGUAGGACGGAGCACGUGAAACUUUGUCUGAAUAUGGGGGGACCAUCCUCCAAGGCUAAAUACUACUAACUGACCGAUAGUGAACCAGUACCGUGAGGGAAAGGCGAAAAGAACCCCUGUGAGGGGAGUGAAAUAGAACCUGAAACCGCAUACGUACAAGCAGUGGGAGCCAAAUUUAGUUUGGUGACUGCGUACCUUUUGUAUAAUGGGUCAGCGACUUAUAUUCUGUAGCAAGGUUAACCGAUUAGGGGAGCCGUAGCGAAAGCGAGUGUUAACUGCGCGUUUAGUUGCAGGGUAUAGACCCGAAACCCGGCGAUCUACCCAUGGGCAGGUUGAAGGUUGAGUAACAUCAACUGGAGGACCGAACACACGUAUGUUGAAAAAUGCGGUGAUGACUUGUGGGUCGGAGUGAAAGGCUAAUCAAGCCGGGAGAUAGCUGGUUCUCCCCGAAAUCUAUUUAGGUAGAGCCUCGGACGAACACCACUGGGGGUAGAGCACUGUUAAGGCUAGGGGGUCAUCCCGACUUACCAACCUUUGCAAACUCCGAAUACCAGUGAGUGAUAUCCGGGAGACACACUGUGGGUGCUAACGUCCAUUGUGAAGAGGGAAACAACCCAGACCGCCAGCUAAGGUCCCAAAGUACUAGUUAAGUGGGAAACGAUGUGGAAAGGCAUAGACAGCUAGGAGGUUGGCUUAGAAGCAGCCAUCCUUUAAAGAAAGCGUAAUAGCUCACUAGUCGAGUCGGUCUGCGCGGAAGAUGUAACGGGGCUAAACUAGUCACCGAAGCUGCGGAUUCAUAGUUUACUAUGAGUGGUAGGGGAGCGUUGUGUAAGCCGUUGAAGGUGAAUUGAGAAGUUUGCUGGAGGUAUCACAAGUGCGAAUGCUGACAUGAGUAACGAUAAGGGGAGUGAAAAACUCCCCCGCCGAAAGACCAAGGUUUCCUGUCCCAUGUUAAUCAGGGCAGGGUAAGUCGGCCCCUAAGGCGAGGCGGAAACGCGUAGUCGAUGGGAAACAGAUUAAUAUUUCUGUACUUCUAUAUAUUGCGAAGGAGGGACGGAGUAGGCUAGGUGAGCACAGUGUUGGUUAUCUGUGUGAAAGUGCGUAGGCUGAGUGUUUAGGUAAAUCCGGACACUCUUAAGGCUGAGACACGAGACGAGAACCCAAGGGUUUGAAGUCAUUGAUGCCAUGCUUCCAGGAAAAGCUUCUAAGCUUCAGAUAUAUAGGAACCGUACCCCAAACCGACACAGGUGGUUAGGUAGAGAAUACUAAGGCGCUUGAGAGAACUCGGGUGAAGGAACUAGGCAAAAUAGUACCGUAACUUCGGGAGAAGGUACGCCCUCACUGGUGAUGGAAUUUACUUCCUAAGCUGGCGAGGGUCGAAGUAACCAGGUGGCUGGAACUGUUUAUUAAAAACACAGCACUGUGCAAAAUCGAAAGAUGACGUAUACGGUGUGACGCCUGCCCGGUGCCGGAAGGUUAAUUGAUUGGGUUAGCAUUAGCGAAGCUCAUGAUCGAAGCCCCGGUAAACGGCGGCCGUAACUAUAACGGUCCUAAGGUAGCGAAAUUCCUUGUCGGGUAAGUUCCGACCUGCACGAAUGGCGUAAUCAUGGCCACACUGUCUCCACCCGAGACUCAGUGAAAUUGAAUUUGCGGUUAAGAUGCCGUAUACCCGCGGCUAGACGGAAAGACCCCGUGAACCUUUACUAUAGCUUGACAGUGAACAUUGCUCC